CUUACUGAUAAACAAAUUGCAUUGUUGGAGAAAACGAUGAACAUACAUCACACGAUAAACAUCCAACAGUUGUGCUUAGGGUAGCUUUCGACAUUACAGAUAUGGACAAUCUGCCCGAUUAAUAGAAAGGAAGUGAUAUUAUUUUACAAGCACUGAACCAUAUCAAUUCCUCUAAAAGAAUACUACUGCAAACUUACCUUACAGAGGUUAAAGACAGAAAUGUUCCUUGCUUGUUGAUCUUUCUGACUCGGAUAGAAACCAGCGGCGCGCACAAGCACCUGGCCAACAUACCAACCUCUGAUGGCUCAAAAGUGUUGUUGAACAUAAGAGGGGUAAGUGUCAAUUACACGGAUCUUUCAAAAGCUCAAGUAACAUUCUAUCUAAUACUAUUAAAUUAACUAAGGAGAUUAAACCUAUUAAAACAUGAAAAUGUCAAGCUCACAAAAUAACUGGACAUACAUAAUUCCUAUUUGAAAUUGAAUCAGCAAUAGAUAGAUACCACAGAUAAGCUGUGAGCGAGAAUCGAGCAAGUAGAAAACAAAAAGUUCCUGCCUCUUUACAUGUAAUACAAUAAUCUUAUAACAUUAUGAUUCAAACACUUUGAUUUCAAUCAGCAAUAGAUAGAUACCACAGAUAAGCCGUGAGCGAGAAACGAGCAAAUCUAAGUACUCACCAGAUCACAAAACUGUUACCAUGUGUUUGCUAGGAACAAACUUAAGGAACAUGAAAGAAGAAAUAAAUUGCACCAAAGUCCCAACUAUACGAGCAUCAAGUAAAACCUCACACAUGCAGUAGAGUUUUUAGAUUCAAGAUUCUAUUUGAGUCAGGUGCAGCAUAAGUGCUCUAUUAUAUAACGCAGAGAUGUAAGAUCAAUAAGUAUACACCAAAGGAAAUUGAUACCUUAAGUGAGAAACGUCUUGCAAUCACUCUCCUUAACUGAACUGCACGUCUUCUCUGCAAAUGAAAAUCAAAUGAACCUUCCACUUGAGUGGUGUUAUAAAAUCAAUUGAAUACUUAUCUGUAUUGGGUGAUUCAAGUUAUUAGUUUGGUAGUUGGUACUGAAUUUUAACAGAAAACACUAACCAACUGUACAUACUGAAUUGAUAAAUAACAGACUUGGCAUACCUUGAGCAAGCAUUCAGUAAAAAGAAGUUACAUUCUUAGCUCGGUCACAUGGCUGGGAUCAAGUUCGGACACAUCCUUGUUAGCUUCACGGUCUUCUACCACAUACUCCUGAUAAUAGGGGAAAAAACAAGAAAUCACUAUAGAAAUGGAAUCAAACCGGAGGAAGAUGCAAAUGGAAUCAAUCUGAAAUAGGAUUUACUCAAAGCAACAAAAUGGAGUAAGAUGCAAAUGGAAUCAAUCUGCAAUAGAAAAACAGAGCUCACUUUAAACAGAAUCUAAAAAGCACAAAAAUGUGAGUCAGCUUUCUAGUAGAAGGGGAAGAGCUAGAAUUGAUAACCUCUGAUGAUAGCAAUGGAGCGAGAAGUAAAACUAACCUUAGAAACACUAAAUCUCUUCUAAACAGAUAGCAAAUCUAAAAUAAAACAAAAUAAACUCAGUGCAAAAUCCAUGAAUUAGAGGCAACAAUUAACCUCAACCCAUAUUCCAUGUCCUACAAGAACGAGAGAUUUACUUUGUCAAUGGAAUCAAACACAAAAUCGAACAAACUAAUGUGCAAAAAUAGAAAAUUGUACAUACAAUGAGAGGGGUGCGGCGAGUAGGCGGCGCUGGUCGCGGUGGCUAGGGUAAGCAGACGAGAGGGGCGGCGACGAGCAGGUGGCGCUGGUCGCGGAGGCUAGGGUUAGCAGACGAGAGGGGCGAUGACGAGCAGGCGGCGCUGGUCGCGGUGGCUAGGGUUAGCAGACAAGAAGGGCGGCGCGACGUGGCAGGCGGUGCAGUAGCGGCGCCUAGGGAUAGCAGAUGAUAGAGGUGGCGAAAUUAGGGCUUCCUUCCCUUUCCUGUUUCAGUUGAUUUCUUUAAUUCAUGAAAAAUUCAAACUAUAAUUCAUGAAAAAAUUGAGAAUAGGAAACAUUGAAAAUCUUAUCUUGAUACCUUUAAGUGGCGUAUCCCCGCUUGAGACCGAGUCGAUUAAAACUCAACGGAGUAGAGUAAGCGGUGAGCAGGGUGAGAGAGGCGUGGCAGCUACUGUCGCCACCUUGUCGUCGAGGUAGAGAGAGAGAAGACACCGACGACAACACAAGUCGCAGCGAUUCUUCAGAAGAGAAGGCUCGAUUUCUUCUGCUGCUGCCUUGUUCCGUCGAAGCGGAGAAGACGUCGGCGGUGGUCGACGGCACGACGGACGAGCUCCAGGAAGCAGCGGCAUUUCGGCGGCAAUUCUGCCGGAAUUGAGAGAGGAUGAAACUAGGGUUUUUAUAUAUCUGUGUGUGUGCUGCUGCCAGAGUAAAAAAAAUACUAUAUAUUUAUACUUAACCGUUUUAAAAACUCUCAUACAUAACGGUUUAAUAAACCGUUGUAAAAUAUGCUCAUAGAUAACAGUCGGCUUAACGGUUUGUAAUACUGUUAUGUAUGCAACUAAUAGAUAACGCACAAACAUAACGGUUUAACUCAAACCGAUAUCUAAGUGUAUGGACAACACUACAUAGAUAACGGUUUUUUGUAAAAACCGUUAUCUAUUCCAAAAAUGCGCUCAUACAUAACGGUUUUUUAAAAAAACUGUUAUGUAUGAAUCGUUAUGUAUGUGCAUUUUUGUAGUAGUGUCGGACGCUUUGGCCUUCCAAAGUCGAAUACAAAGUUCCGUCGUUCCUGAACUUCACACAAAAGACCCUAUAGAUCAAAAAAGUAUGCAUUAGAGCAAAAGGAAAUCAUGUCUGACGUGGUAAGAAGCAAGAAGCAUAAAUCCUAGCCACUAAUCUAAUUGAGUUAAUUUCUUAUCUAAAGAACCUAAUCAUAGAUACAGUAACAGUAGUUCACAAUUCACAAUAGAGUAUUGCAAGAGAAACACAUCAUUGUAUAAGAAUUAAGAACGAUUGAAACAUUAAUAGUUCUAAAUUUCAAUUGACCUCUGCAUUCUCUUAGUAUGAUAUAUUUCUCGGUUGUGACCACCAUUAUAUUGGAAGAUUCUGACCUGCGAAUGCAUUAUGGAUAGGGAUGUCAAUCGGGCCAGCCCACCGAAUUUUCGGGCUAGCCCUAUCGGGUUUCGGGUUAGUCGGGUGCGGGCUAAUCGGGUUGGAGAUUUUUUCGGGUUGUAAAUCUUCAACCCUAACCCUAAACUUUCGGGUUUCGGGCUAGCCCAUCGGGCUAAUCAGGUUAAAGGCGUAAAAAUAAAAUUAUCAUUGGUAUUUUAUUAUUCCUAAUGAUCUAAUGUAUAAUGUAUAAAAUAUACAUAGAUAUUAAAUAUAUAAAUUAUAUAGCAAAGCAUGAAAUGCAAAAAUAUAAGAUACUCCUUCAAGAUUACAUAAACAAAAUUAUAUUAAAAUGAGAUAGUAAAAUUUAACAUGUAUCAAUGCACUAGAAUCAAUCUGGAUUAUUACUGAAUAAUUAGUGGAUUUGCCAUGCACGUCUCAUUGACAGAAAAAAAAAAAAUAGUAUCACUUUAAAAUGAGAUACUAAUAAUUAAUUUCUAACUAAUGAGAUACUAAUAAUCAAUUUCUACAAAAAAACCGUAAUUAAUUUUACCUUUUUUAAUGAGAUUGCACACACACACACAUAUAUAUUCUAACUAAUUAAUUUCACUUUUUUUUUAAUGAGGCUACAUAUAUAUAUAUAUAUAUUUAAGCAAAUACCAUAGAUCUAAACAUAGCAGAAGUUGUAACUGGAUGCAUCAGUCACAAUUCCGUCAGCCCACCGGGCCAGCCCAUCGGGUUUUCGGGCUAGCCCUAUCGGGUUCCGGGUUAGUCGAGUGCGGGCUAAUCGGGCUGAAGGUUUUUUCGGGUUGCGAUUUUUCAACCCUAACCCUCUAAUUUUGUCGGGUUAUUCGGGUCGGCCCACGGAUUUCGGGCUGCAUUGACAUCCCUAAUUAUGGACAUCAAAAGAUGUGACUUAGAAAGAAAACAUAAUGAUUCAACAAAUAAUAAACAUGAGAAACAGAUUUCUUACAGUUCUAUCAUAACAUCUAGUUACAAACUCACGGCCAGUUGGUGAAUAAUCAAUAUCCAUUCUGAGUAUGAGCCAUCAAAAAUUAGUAAAGCAAAAUGUUUGAACUGAAUACUAAAUCAGAACCAAUGUUUUAAAAAACGUUUGAGGCGUACGAACUGAGGCGCGCCUCAGUUCCAAUCCUUAGAAAAUCGCAUCUGAGGCGCCGCCUCAGUUGAUUGAAAUGAAACUUACGCCUCAGUUAAUUGAGGCGCACUGAGGCGGUGGGUAAGAACCAGUUCGUUUGAGGCUUAAGCCUCAGUUAGAAUUUGAUUUUUCAGUCCAAAUUGAGUGGGCUUUGUAUAUUUUAACCGAAUUACUAAUGGGCUUUAUUAAUUUAGGCCCAAUUUAAGUAAAGCCCUACAUAUUAUUAUUAAUUAAUACCUAAUAGUCUAAUAUACUAUGGAAUACAAAAAGUCACGUAGGAAAUACUAUGGUUUUUGGACUUGUGGUCGUAUAAGUACUAGUUAUUUUGCUAUGAACCUAUUAUUAUAUAGCUUAUGAGUGUUAAGUUGGUAUUUUAUUAUAGCUUUUGACUUUAUGGUAUUAGUUAUUUUGUUAUGAACUUAUUAUAUUUAUGAACCUAUAAUUUUUCUUAAAGGCUUACGCCUUGAAUUGGUUCCUACGCCUCGGUUCGAACUGGUUCCUACGCCUCAUGGUACUAUAAGAAACGCCUCGGUUCUCGAUUUAGUUUUUUAAAACAUUGAUCAGAACCUCAAAAUUUAGGAUUUAUAAGAUAUUAGUAGUUGAGACUUACACUGCAGAAACAUGAUCUUUGUGCACACAUCUUGUCUCAUUCAUUUUUCGAACAUCAUAACUAUAGGCUAUAGCAAUUGCAAUCUUCAUUUUGCCUGAAUUGACAUGAUAUUUUAAUUUACAAUCAUAGCAUUUCAAGAUAUAUAAUUUCACCAGGCCAUGAACUAGCUCACAACUUUUCAUGCAUGUGUUAUUGGAUGCCAUAUAACAGACUAACAAUUCCAACCAAAUUUUGCAUGCUUAUUGAGAAAAAAGAAUAAUAUAUGAAUCAUAAUCAAGUGCACAUGUCAUAAAUAGGUAAUCCGGGUGCUUUACUACUGCCUCAAAAGUUAUAUUAGAAAAUGAUGCAUACAAAAGCAAAUGAAACUUUAGAGGCCAGCAUCUUAAUGCAGCAGGAGAAGAUAUAUGUAGGUUCGACAAGUCAAAACAUUCAUUUUUUUUAUACUACUCCCUUGCAAGCAUGAAUAUCUGCAAAAUUCACCAAAAAUCAACACAUAAAUUACUUGAAAGCUUCGAAACAAUCCCAGCAAAUUCCAGAUAAAAUUGCACGAAAAUGAGGAGAAACUAAUUGUCAGCAAUGACAACAUAAUAAUACGGACAACACACAAUUUUAACCUAAUUUGACGGAUACGCAGAAUUGGAUUUGCAAAUCAAAAUGGUUGACAUUUCUAUCAAACAACUUGGGCUAAUUACAACAAGGAACAAAAAAAAUGUACUAUAUGUUACGAGUAAAAUCUACCGAAAUACUAUUGAAGUGCAAUCUAACCAAAAAUUUGAGCCUGUUUCUGGCUUGCCUUGGAGGCUCUGAGACGUGGUGGCGGUGACCAGAGAAGAAGAGGACGGCGCCGACAAGAUACAGUUCUAGAGGUCGACUAGCUAGGGCGCUAAAGAUUGAGGUCGGGCGGCAGAGAAGCGACGGCGCAAGGUAGGGUGAUGCCGGGGAGGUUGGCGGGGGAGAGAAGUGAGGCGCUGGAUAGGGCGGGGCGGCACAGGGAGGUCGGCGGGGGAGAGAGGCGAGGCGCUGGAUAGGGCGGCGCAGGGAGGAUGGCGAGGACUGAUGGAGUUACCCUAGGGAACCAAGAAGAAAACUAAUGUUUAAUUCAUAUAGUUUUUUCUAAUUUGUUUUGUAUUUUCAUGUUUAAUUUUUUUUUAAUUAUAAUAUAAAACCGGUUUUUAACCGAUGUG
rnacentral:lncRNA from 1 species